GACGAACGCUGGCGGCGUGCUUAACACAUGCAAGUCGAACGGAAAGGCCCUGCUUUUGUGGGGUGCUCGAGUGGCGAACGGGUGAUUAACACGUGAGUAACCUGCCCUUGACUUUGGGAUAACUUCAGGAAACUGGGGCUAAUACCGGAUAGGAGCUCCUGCUGCAUGGUGGGGGUUGGAAAGUUUCGGCGGUUGGGGAUGGACUCGCGGCUUAUCAGCUUGUUGGUGGGGUAGUGGCUUACCAAGGCUUUGACGGGUAGCCGGCCUGGGAGGGUGACCGGCCACAUUGGGACUGAGAUACGGCCCAGACUCCAACGGGAGGCAGCAGUGGGGAAUAUUGCACAAUGGGCGGAAGCCUGAUGCAGCAACGCCGCGUGCGGGAUGACGGCCUUCGGGUUGUAAACCGCUUUCGCCUGUGACGAAGCGUGAGUGACGGUAAUGGGUAAAGAAGCACCGGCUAACUACGUG
rnacentral:rRNA from 1 species